GGUGCUGUGGCGAAGAUGGUUAUCGCAUCGUGCUGAUAACACGAAGGUCCGCGGUUCGAGCCCGCGCAGCACCA